CUGGCGCUGCGCAGCCGCGGGGCGGCCGCCGCGCAUGCGGGGCUCACAAGGCUGCAGCCGGCUCCGCGGCCACUCCCGGGAGCAUGAAGGACCGAACCCAGGAGCUCCGCACGGCCAAGGACAGCGAUGACGAUGACGACGUCACUGUCAGCGUGGACCGAGACCGCUUCAUGGAUGAGUUCUUCGAACAGGUGGAGGAAAUCCGCGGCUUCAUUGACAAGAUCUCAGAGAACGUGGAGGAGGUGAAGCGGAAGCACAGUGCCAUCCUGGCCUCCCCCAACCCUGAUGAGAAGACAAAGGAGGAGCUGGAGGAACUCAUGUCCGACAUAAAGAAGACAGCAAACAAAGUGCGCUCCAAGUUGAAGAGCAUCGAGCAGAGCAUUGAGCAGGAGGAAGGCCUGAACCGUUCAUCUGCCGACCUGCGGAUCCGGAAGACGCAGCACUCCACACUGUCCCGGAAGUUUGUGGAAGUCAUGUCUGAGUACAACGCAACACAGUCUGACUACCGGGAGCGCUGCAAGGGCCGCAUCCAGAGGCAGCUGGAGAUCACUGGCAGGACCACGACCAGUGAGGAGCUGGAGGACAUGCUGGAGAGUGGGAACCCGGCCAUCUUUGCCUCUGGGAUCAUCAUGGACUCCAGCAUCUCGAAGCAGGCCCUGAGCGAGAUCGAGACGCGGCACAGCGAGAUCAUUAAGCUGGAGAACAGCAUCCGUGAGCUGCACGACAUGUUCAUGGACAUGGCCAUGCUUGUGGAGAGCCAGGGUACUUUCCCGAAGUCCUGCCUGAGCUCCCUCCUGACCCUGAGGUGGGACCUCUGGAGCUGGGGUGCCCCCGGCCCUGCAGGGGGAGAUGAUUGACAGGAUUGAGUACAAUGUGGAACACGCGGUGGACUACGUGGAGAGGGCCGUGUCUGACACCAAGAAGGCCGUCAAGUACCAGAGCAAGGCACGCCGGAAGAAGAUCAUGAUCAUCAUCUGCUGCGUUGUCCUGGGCAUCGUCAUCGCCUCCAUCUUUGGAGGCAUCUUCGGAUAGAAACCACCCCACCUGCCACUCCACUCUGGAUGGUCCACCCCGAGGAGGCCCCCUGGCUGCUGCCACCCUCUGGCUCGGAGCCCUCUCCUUUCCACCCCACACUGCUCCUACUCUGCCACGGGCCCCCCACACCCACCCUGCCCUGAGCCGUCGUGUGCAUGAUCUUUGUAAGUGUGCGUCUGUACAGAGGAGGCAGAGGGGAGCCGGGCUGGCUAACAGCCAGUGGGUGGGGAGGGGUCAGCAAGGGAAAGACUCAGGCCCUGGCCGCCUCACCCUUCCCGGGCAGCGCUGCCCAGGGUAGCCACGCUUCCUUUCCCCUGCCUUCUGUGAUUUCACUCUUGACCUGGGGUCUGCCCUGUCUGGGCUUCAAGGCUCUGGACCCCAACCUUGCGUCCCAUUGCCCCACCCAUCUCCCCUGCCCUCUCCAGCUGUCCCAAGCCCAACCCCCUGAGGGGUGGGGACCAGCUGGCCACAUGGUGCUGCUUUUCAGGUUAGGGGAGGGACGGUCCUGAGAGACAGCCCAGCUCUAAGCCUCUAACAGCUGGUCACUUACAGGGAGGCUCAGGGCGCUGUGGCCAGGUGGUUUCUGGCAGUGUCAAGACCAGGCUCCCUCCCCUACCUUGGGGCAGAGUCCAAAAGGUCUUUGGCUGCUUCAACCUCCCUUCCCACAUCCCUUUGGCCCCAGGAGCAACCCCUUUGGGCUGUGCCUGAUCCCGGUAACAUUCUGGAAGAGGCUGGCGGGUACCCGGUCUCCAGCCACCCUUGGAGCUAAGGCAGAGGGCCAGCCAUCCUGCCCAGCAGGCCUUUGUCCAGUCCUCAAGCCAUUGUGUUGCAUGUUUGGGACAAUGGUCCCUGCUCUCGUGCUCCGGGAAGUCAGAUGUCACUUCAGGUCUGCAGCCACAUCCUGCCCUUGCCAUCCCCCCCAUUGAUGUGCCACGUGAAUGUCAGGUGUCUUGGAUGCAGUAUUCAGCAGCCAGCCAGGGAGGGGGACCUCCCCCCCCCACCAUCUCGGGGAUUCUCAAGUUAGAAACGUGCCCCUCUUCCUCGUUGACAGGCAAGGAGUGUGCAUGCGAGUGCAUGCAGUGGGGGUGGGGCCGCGUGUGAGCCCCACCGUCCCUCAGCUUUGCUCCUGCCGUGACUGACCACUGUCCAUGUUGCCUUCUUUAACCGCGACUUCCCUCCCCACCUUACCCCUUCACCAAAGGUCUUGGUACAACCAGCUGCCCAUUUUGUGAAAUUUUUAUGUAGAAUAAACAUUUGUAUC